rnacentral:tRNA from 1 species
UGUUGUGUGGCUUAGUUGGAUGAAGUGCCGAACUAGCGAAACGGAGUCAUAGGUUCGAGUCCCACCAAAACAA